UACGUAGGGUGCAAGCGUUGUCCGGAAUUACUGGGCGUAAAGCGUGCGCAGGCGGUUGUGCAAGACAGAUGUGAAAUCCCCGGGCUCAACCUGGGAAUUGCAUUUGUGACUGCACGGCUAGAGUGUGUCAGAGGGGGGUAGAAUUCCACGUGUAGCAGUGAAAUGCGUAGAGAUGUGGAGGAAUACCGAUGGCGAAGGCAGCCCCCUGGGAUAACACUGACGCUCAUGCACGAAAGCGUGGGGAGCAAACAGG
rnacentral:rRNA from 1 species